rnacentral:rRNA from 1 species
UGGGGAAUAUUGGGCAAUGGGCGAAAGCCUGACCCAGCAACGCCGCGUGAAGGAAGAAGGCCUUCGGGUUGUAAACUUCUUUAUCAGGGACGAAGGAAGUGACGGUACCUGAUGAAUAAGCCACGGCUAACUACGUGCCAGCAGCCGCGGUAAUACGUAGGUGGCAAGCGUUAUCCGGAUUUACUGGGUGUAAAGGGCGCGUAGGCGGGGAUGCAAGUCAGAUGUGAAAUCUAUGGGCUCAACCCAUAAACUGCAUUUGAAACUGUAUCUCUUGAGUGUCGGAGAGGUAGAUGGAAUUCCUAGUGUAGCGGUGAAAUGCGUAGAUA